GGCCUCCUCGUGCUUACCACAGGCUGUGUUCUUACAUUGACUGUAUAGAAAGAGGAGGCAAAGUGCACCUACACUGUAUACCCUUCAGCCCAGGCACUGUGCCUGGUCUGUAUUGUGAAUGGGGAGACAUGG
ensembl:snoRNA